UGAUUGCGUAUAGGAGACUGUAAUUAGAAGUUGGAACUUAUUAGAACCUAGAACCAUAUUCCUUGCAUCACCUUAACGGCGUCGUUUUGCAUAAACAGCACAUAGAGAGCAAUGAUCUUACCAUUGGCAUGUAUCACUAUGUAAAUCUCACUCUGCUAAUUUCGCUCGGUUCACGGCUCCUUGCCUUCCCUUCCUGUGGUAAAAGAAAACCUAAUUUUGCUCGGUUCAUGCGAUCACUUGGAUUGCAGUUUAAAUCUCCAACAUUAUCCAUCGGGUUCCAACCAUUACGAGCCGUUGAUUCCUCUGAAAAUCACUGGUCAACUAUAUGUCCAUGGUUCGUCUUCUCUCCUCUGCUUGAUUUUCCCGAUUGAGUGCUGUUUUGAUUUGUUUUGGGAGUUUGAAUGGGGGUUAUGGAGAAUAUGCUGCAUUCAGAGUCUCUUAGAACAGUUACAUCAGUAAACGGUAGUCAUUCUGAAGGAAGAUUGGGAAAAUCGGCAAUGGAAAAUGGUGAUUGUUCUUUUCAUACUAGUGCACCAAAGUAUAAGAGGCGCAAAGUCUCCGCAGUUCGUGACUUUCCACCAAUUCCUCCACGAAUCCAGUCUACAGAGAUGCUUGAGCGAAAAAAUCUCUUGACAUCAGAGGAAGAAAGAGUGGUCAUUUCAUCUGAUCAGGAGGUGAAUGGACUUGAAUCUGUGAAUGCUGAACCUGUAAAAAUGAAGUCACCAGCUUUGGAAGCUUUGAACAAUUCAGGGUUGAGUGAACCAGUAAAGGGUUUAGAGCACAAUGUUUCUGCUGUUUGUGACUUUCCACUAGGAUGUGGACCAUUUACUCCACAAAUCCAGUCUACAGAGAUGCUUGAGCAAAAAACUGUUUUGACAUCUGAUGAGGUGAAUGGACUUGAAUCUGUGAAUGCUAAACUGAAAGCUUUGAACAAUGCAGAGUUGAGUGAACCAGUAAAGGGUUUAGAGCACAAAGUUUCUGCUGGUUGUGACUUUCCACCAGUAUGUAGACCAUUUGCUCCACAAAUCCAGUCUACAGAGAUGCUUGAGCAAAAAAAAAAUGUUUUGACCUCAAAGGAAGAAAAAGUGGUCAUUUCAUCUGAUGAAGUGAAUGGACUUGAAUCUGUGAAUGUUGAACCUGUAAAAAUGCAGUCACCACCUUUGGAUGCUUUGAACAAUGCAGGGUUGAGUGAACCUGUAAAGGGUUUAGAGCACAAAGUUUCUGAUGUUCGUGACUUUCCACCAGUAUGUGGACCAUUUGCUCCACGAAUCCAGUCUACAGAGAUGCUUGAGCAAAAAAAAAAUAUUUUGACAUCAAAUGAAGAAAAAGUGGUUGUGUCAUCUGAUGAGGUGAAUAGACUUGAAUAUGUUAAUGCUGUAAAAAUUCAGUCACCAACUUUGGAAGCUUUGAACAAUGCCGGGUUGAGUGAACCAGUAAAGGGUUUAGAGCACAAAGUGUCUACUGUUUGUGACUUUCCACUAGUAUGUGGACCAUUUGCUCCACAAAUCCAGUCUACAGAGAUGCCUGAGCAAAAAAAUGUUUUGACAUCAAAAGAAGAAAAAGUAGUCGUUUCAUCUGAUGAGGUGAAUGGACUUGAAUCUGUGAAUGCUGAACCUGUAAAAAUGCAGUCACUAGCUUUGGAAGCUUUGAACAAUGCAGGGUUGAGUGAACCUGUAAAGGGUUUAGAAGACACAGCCUGUGAUUUGUCAAAGGAUUUACAUUUGGUGGGUGCUUCUGCUUCAAAGAAAGAGAUGUUUUUGCCUAGUGGUUCUAAAUGCUGGUCACCAUCUGGUGGUCCCAAUGACAAUGGUUUGAGGAAGACUAUGGCCAAAAAGUAUCCUCCACGAAGAAAAGUUUCAGCCAUCAGAGACUUCCCUCCCUUGUUUGGAAGGAACGCCCCACAUCUCAGUAAGGUAGAGACUGUGAAAGUGCUUGCUUCUCUGAAGAACAAGAGUUUGGGUCAAGGUAAUUCUGAUAUGGGUGACAAGCCGCCAUUUGAAGAGACUGAAAAAACUGACUUGAAGCGAAUGGGAGAGGAUGUUCAAAAUACAGAUGCACAGAAGAGAAAAUUUCAGGGGAAUGUUUCUGUGAAAAUUGGGGACAGAGUUGGAGCUGAAUCUGAUGGGCGUGCUACUAAAAAAAUCAGGAAGCAAAAUGGAUAUGAAAGGUCUUUUGAGAUGAAGGUGGACCAGGAGCCUGUGUUGGACAGGGUCGUAGUGCUAGGUCUGAUGGCUGCUCCAAAUUGUCCUUGGAGGAAUGGGAAAGGGGCCUAUAAACCAUACCCAACUGGCAUUGCAAAUGAAGGUAAAGGAAAGAAAUAUAGUUUUCUACAGCCUGGGAAACAUAAAUCUGCUGUCAGGACAAAGGAUGAAGCGAAAGUUUCUGGAGUAAAGUCUAAGAAAAAGAACUCAUCUGUUUCAAGAAACACCGCUAAUCAAGGUAUGGGUCAAAUUGUUGUUAGGGAUAAGGAGGAUUCUCCUAAGGAGGAUUCUCCUAAGAAUGAUGAUGAAUAUUUAGACUUUCAUAUGGCUCCAGGACCACGUAGUUUUGGUGUAAACCUUCCACCCAUUGGAAUAAGUGGUCAAAGUCACAACAGUGAUGCAAUUACUCGAAACAAAGUGAGGGAGACACUGCGUCUGUUCCAAGCUGUCUGUAGGAAGCUUUUGCAGGAAGAAGAAGCAAAGCCAAAGGAACGAGAAAAAGGUAAUAGAAGGGUUGAUCAAAAAGCAUCAAAGAUUCUUAAGGAUAAAAAUAAAUUUGUUAACAAUGGCGAAAAAAUCUUGGGAUCUGUCCCAGGUGUUGAAGUUGGUGAUGAGUUUCAUUACAGGAUUGAGCUUAAUAUUAUUGGCCUUCAUCGCCCGAGUAUGGCUGGAAUAGAUUUUAUGAAGCAUGGUGGGGAGAUCCUUGCAAUUAGUGUUGUGUCAUCUGGGGGCUAUGAUGAUGAUUGGGAUAAUUCAGAUUCCUUGACAUAUAUGGGCCAGGGAGGAAAUGUGAUGAAUACUGAUAAAGAACCUGAAGAUCAGAAACUUGAACGGGGAAACCUUGCUUUGAAGAAUAGCAUGCAUAAAAGGAAUCCUGUUAGGGUGAUCCGUGGCUCUGAGUCUUCAAAUGGAAAAACAUAUAUCUAUGAUGGGCUAUAUCUGGUGGAGAAAUAUUGGCAGGAUUUGGGGCCACAUGGUAAACUAGUUUUCAAGUUUCAGUUGGACAGAAUUCCAGGUCAACCAGAGCUCGCUUGGAAAGAAGUCAAAAAGUCCAAGAAAUUCAAAAUUAGGGAGGGUCUCUGCGUGGAUGAUAUCUCACAAGGGAUAGAGUCAACUCCCAUUUGUGUUGUGAACACCAUAGAUGAUGAGAAACCUGCACCAUUUAAAUACAUUACUAGCAUGAUAUAUCCUCAUUGGUGCCGCCCUGUCUCUCCUAAGGGCUGUGACUGUAUUAAUGGAUGCUCGGAUUCUGAGAAAUGUUCCUGUGCUGUCAAGAAUGGAGGAGAAAUCCCAUUUAACUAUAAUGGGGCUAUAGUUGAAGCAAAGCCCCUCGUCUAUGAGUGUGGUCCUUCUUGCAAGUGCCCUUCUACAUGCCAUAAUAGAGUCAGCCAGCAAGGUAUCAAAUUUCAGCUUGAAAUUUUUAAAACCAAAUCAAGGGGAUGGGGUGUGAGAUCCCUUAAUUCGAUUCCUUCAGGAAGUUUUAUUUGUGAGUAUAUCGGAGAGCUCCUUGAAGAUAAGGAGGCUGAACGAAGAACCGGCAAUGAUGAGUAUUUGUUUGAUAUUGGGAAUAACUACAAUGACAGUUCUCUUUGGGAUGGACUCUCAUCCCUUAUGCCUGAUGUGCAGGCAACUUCCUGUGAAGUUGUGGAGGAUGGUGGCUUCACCAUUGAUGCAGCGCAGUAUGGCAAUGUGGGGAGAUUCAUCAACCACAGUUGUUCUCCCAAUUUGUAUGCACAAAAUGUCCUAUACGAUCAUGAGGACAAUAGGAUUCCUCACAUAAUGCUCUUUGCCGCUGAAAACAUUCCUCCGUUGCAAGAGCUGACUUACCAUUACAAUUACAUGAUAGAUCAGGUUCGUGAUUCAAAUGGCAAUAUUAAAAAGAAGAGUUGCUUUUGUGGUUCUAUAGAGUGCACCGGCAGGAUGUAUUGAGGUAGAGUAAGAAGAGAAGGUCAGAUUUAAGGUGAAGAGGACUUCUCAAAUCCAGUAAAUAUGGGCCAGGAAUUAUGCGAGGUAGCUGAUCACAUGAAUUUAAAUUCAACCAUUGAGCACUAGUAGUCAUGGACUUGGUAAUUCUCCUUUCACACUAAAGGGAUUUGGUGGAGGAGCAUGUUUGGAGGCCUAGGGGUAUCUUGUUUCGAGGUACAAAAGGAAUUGCAGCUUGGUGAAAGAAGUUGAGAAGAAAUUAUCAGAAUCGGAAACCAUCUGUGUUUACUAUUGCACUAUGCUUGCCUGGCUGUCUCAUUCUUCAGAGGUUAAUGAUCGAGAAUUGUUUGUAAAAUUUUUUUGAUCACGUGGACCUUACUGGGGCAGGGCCGUUCAGACCCAUUCCUCGAUAGUGAACUCCAAAUGCACGACCCUAGAAUUAUUGGUAACAUGUGUACAUGAUUUCUUGACACAUGUAGCCUAUGCUCCCCGUUUUGCUUUGCCGUUGUUUUGGUUCUCAAGUGCACAGUACCGAGGUACUAGCCCGAGCAAUUUUGAUGGAAGAUAAUUGAGUUGUCAUAUUGAGGUGGAUGGUUCUUCACUAUUAUUGAUGUCAGGAGAGCCGGCAUAGAAGGGCCAGAUGGCUACUUCUUGCCGUUGGGAUAUGGAUCGACGAUAUGGAAAACAGAAAAUUUACUGUGUUUGUUCUAAUUUUCAAAAUUUGUUUUUGAUUGUGUUUUUUAGAAAGUGAAAAUUGAGCAGUGUUGUGUGUGGGGACUAUAUUUGAAAUUGAAAAAAGCGUUUAUGAAAA